rnacentral:rRNA from 1 species
GCGGCGGACGGGUGGAGUAACACGUGGGCAAGCUGCCCUGCAGACUGGGAUAACUUCGGGAAACCGGAGCUAAUACCGGAUAACACCGAAAACCGCAUGGUUUUCGGUUGAAAGGCGGCUUUUAGCUGUCACUGCAGGAUGGGCCCGCGGCGCAUUAGCUAGUUGGUGAGGUAACGGCUCACCAAGGCGACGAUGCGUAGCCGACCUGAGAGGGUGACCGGCCACACUGGGACUGAGACACGGCCCAGACUCUUACGGGAGGCAGCAGUAGGGAAUCUUCCGCAAUGGACGAAAGUCUGACGGAGCAACGCCGCGUGAGCGAAGAAGGUCUUCGGAUCGUAAAGCUCUGUUGUCAGGGAAGAACAAGUGCCGUUCGAACAGGGCGGUACCUUGACGGUACCUGACGAGGAAGCCACGGCUAACUACGUGCCAGCAGCCGCGGUAAUAC